GAGUUUGAUCCUGGCUCAGGACGUACGCUGGCGGCGUGCUUAACACAUGCAAGUCGAACGAUGAAGCCCAGCUUGCUGGGUGGAUUAGUGGCGAACGGGUGAGUAAUACGUGAGUAACCUGCCUUUAACUCUGGGAUAAGCCUUGGAAACGGGGUCUAAUACCGGAUACGACCAGUUCCCGCAUGGGAUGCUGGUGGAAAGGGAUAUGUACUGGUUUUAGAUGGGCUCACGGCCUAUCAGCUUGUUGGUGAGGUAACGGCUCACCAAGGCGACGACGGGUAGCCGGCCUGAGAGGGUGACCGGCCACACUGGGACUGAGACACGGCCCAGACUCCUACGGGAGGCAGCAGUGGGGAAUAUUGCACAAUGGGCGCAAGCCUGAUGCAGCGACGCCGCGUGAGGGAUGACGGCCUUCGGGUUGUAAACCUCUUUCAGCAGGGAAGAAGCGAAAGUGACGGUACCUGCAGAAGAAGCGCCGGCUAACUACGUGCCAGCAGCCGCGGUAAUACGUAGGGCGCGAGCGUUGUCCGGAAUUAUUGGGCGUAAAGAGCUUGUAGGCGGUUUGUCGCGUCUGCUGUGAAAGCCCGGGGCUUAACCCCGGGUUUGCAGUGGGUACGGGCAGACUAGAGUGCAGUAGGGGAGACUGGAAUUCCUGGUGUAGCGGUGAAAUGCGUAGA
rnacentral:rRNA from 1 species